CAGACACACAAAUGUGUCACGACACACAAUUGUAAAACUUUAUUGUCUUCUACAAGCAACAUUUACAUAUUUUGUCUGCACAAGGUUUGCUGUGCCAAGUUGGACAUCCAGCCGAACAAUUAUAAACAUGGACACACCUAAAGAUGAAUGUAAUAACAACAAGCCAGAACUGUGAUAACAACAAGCCAGAAUGUGAUAACAACAAGCCGAAGGAGGCAGAGGCAACUUCCAAAAAUCUAGAGUCACAAAAUCCUGAAGCUACCCAGCUAAGUUCUACAGAAGAACUGGGAUGACAAAUUAGACCAAAUGGUCUGCCUUCUAUUGGAGCCUCUCAGCCUCACACAACAACUAGAAGGGGAAGAGACACGCAACAAUCCAUUAUGUUUAAAUCCGGAACAUAACCUUACUGAUGUCCAACUCUCAAGAAUAGAAAGCAAUCCUGUGCUCUGCAGAAGAAUCUAUCUAUCUAUGUCAAAGAGGAAAGCAGCACCCCUAAUAAUGUGAAUAGGUGCCUCCAGCCAGGGUCCCGGUCCAGGAUCCUACCAACGUACUCCAAGG